rnacentral:rRNA from 1 species
AGUGAACGCUGGCGGUAGGCCUAACACAUGCAAGUCGAACGGCAGCACAGUAAGAGCUUGCUCUUACGGGUGGCGAGUGGCGGACGGGUGAGGAAUACAUCGGAAUCUACUUUUUCGUGGGGGAUAACGUAGGGAAACUUACGCUAAUACCGCAUACGACCUACGGGUGAAAGCAGGGGAUCUUCGUACCUUGCGCGAUUGAAUGAGCCGAUGUCGGAUUAGCUAGUUGGCGGGGUAAAGGCCUACCAAGGCGACGAUCCGGAGCUGGUCUGAGAGGAUGAACGGGGACAUGGGGCCUGAGAGACAGACCGCAGUCCGACGGGAGGCAGCAGUGGGUAAUAUUGAACAAUGGUGUCAAGCCGGAGACAGCGACGCCGCGUGGGGGAUUACGUCCUUCGGGUGGUAAACUCCAUGCAGCCAUGACCAAGCCCGUGUGGGAACGUUAGUGGAAGAAGAAGCACCGGCUAGCUACGUG